rnacentral:rRNA from 1 species
AGCUCCAAUAGCGUAUAUUAAAGUUGUUGCAGUUAAAAAGCUCGUAGUUGGAUUUCUGGUUUGAUGCGCCUGGCCCGCCACGGUUUACGUGUGUGAGUGCCGGCGCGCGUCUGCCAUCCUUCUAGAGAACGUUCCUAAGGUUCAUUCCUGUGGGUUCGCAAUCUAGAUCUUUUACUUUGAAAAAAUUAGAGUGUUUAAAGCAGGCUUUUGCUAUGAAUACAUUAGCAUGGAAUAAUAAUUUAGGACUUUGGUUCUAUUUUGUUGGUUUCCGGGACUGAAGUAAUGAUUGAUAGGGAUUGUUGGGGGUGCUAGUAUUCAGCGGCCAGAGGUGAAAUUCUCGGAUUCGCUGAAGACUAACUUAUGCGAAAGCAUUCACCAAGGAAGUCUUCUUUA